CUCCUACGGGAGGCAGCAGUGGGGAAUUUUGCGCAAUGGGGGAAACCCUGACGCAGCAACGCCGCGUGGAGGAUGAAGCCCUUGGGGCGUAAACGUCCUUUCGACCAAGACGAUAAUGACGGUACUCGGUGGAGAAGCACCGGCUAACUCUGUGCCAGCAGCCGCGGUAAUUC
rnacentral:rRNA from 1 species